rnacentral:rRNA from 1 species
UACGUAGGGUGCGAGCGUUGUCCGGAAUUAUUGGGCGUAAAGAGCUCGUAGGCGGUGUGUCACGUCGGCCGUGAAAACCUGCAGCUUAACUGUGGGCGUGCGGUCGAUACGGGCAUCACUGGAGUUCGGCAGGGGAGACUGGAAUUCCUGGUGUAGCGGUGAAAUGCGUAGAUAUCUGGAGGAAUACCGGUGGCGAAGGCGGCAUCCUGGACCAAUACUGACGCUGAGGCGCGAAAGCCAGGGGAGCAAACGGG